UACGGAGGGUGCAAACGUUGCUCGGAAUUAUUGGGCGUAAAGCGCUCGUAGGCGGUUUGUUAAGUCGGGUGUGAAAGCCCAGGGCUCAACCCUGGAAGUGCACUCGAAACUGGCGAACUUGAAUAUGGAAGAGGGUCGCGGAAUUCCCGGUGUAGAGGUGAAAUUCGUAGAUAUCGGGAGGAACACCAGUGGCGAAAGCGGCGACCUGGGCCAAUAUUGACGCUGAGGAGCGAAAGCGUGGGGAGCAAACAGGAUUAGAUACCCUGGUAGUCCACGCUGUAAACGAUGGAUGCUAGAUGUUGUGGGUAUUGACCCCUGCAGCGUCGCAGCUAACGCAUUAAGCAUCCCGCCUGGGGAGUACGGCCGCAAGGCUAAA
rnacentral:rRNA from 1 species